AUUGAACGCUGGCGGCAGGCUUAACACAUGCAAGUCGAACGGUAGCAGGAGAAAGCUUGCUUUCUUGCUGACGAGUGGCGGACGGGAGAGUAAUGCUUCGGAAUCUGGCUUAUGGAGGGGGUUAACUACGGGAAACGGUAGCUAGUACCGCGUAAUAUCUUCGGAUUAAAGACUGGGACUUUUAGCCAUUCGCCAUAAGAUGAGCCCAAGUUGGAUUAGGUAGUUGGUGGGGUAAAGGCCUACCAAGCCGACGAUGUCUAGCUGGACUGAGAGGAUGACCAGCCACACUGGAACUGAGACACGGUCCAGACUCCUACGGGAGGCAGCAGUGGGGAAUAUGGCGCAAUGGGGGCAACCCUGACGCAGCCAUGCCGCGUGAAUGAAGAAGGCGUUCGGGUUGUAAAGUUCUUUCGGUGGUGAGGAAGGCGAAUAUGUUAAUAGCAUAUUAGAUUGACGCUAGCCACAGAAGAAGCACCGGCUAACUCCGUG
rnacentral:rRNA from 1 species